UACGGGGGGUGCGAGCGUUGUCCGGAAUCACUGGGCGUAAAGGGCGCGUAGGUGGUUUGAUAAGGGUGUGGUGAAAGUCCGGAGCUCAACUCCGGAUCUGCCGUGCCGACUGUCAAACUCGAGGGCUGUAGAGGCAGACGGAAUUCCGGGUGUAGCGGUGGAAUGCGUAGAGAUCCGGAGGAAGACCGGUGGCGAAGGCAGCCCCCUGGGCUAACACUGACGCUCAUGCACGAAAGCGUGGGGAGCAAACAGG
rnacentral:rRNA from 1 species